UACGUAGGGUGCAAGCGUUGUCCGGAUUUAUUGGGCGUAAAGAGCUCGUAGGCGGCUCGGUAAGUCGGAUGUGAAACCUCCAGGCUCAACCUGGAGACGCCAUCUGAUACUGCCGUGGCUUGAGUCCGGUAGAGGAGCAGGGAAUUCCUGGUGUAGCGGUGAAAUGCGCAGAUAUCAGGAGGAACACCAGCGGCGAAGGCGCUGCUCUGGGCCGGUACUGACGCUCAUGCACGAAAGCGUGGGGAGCAAACAGG
rnacentral:rRNA from 1 species